AAUGGUGUUAAGAUCUUCCUAAGUGGCAAAUUUGUGGUGCUCGAGACAGACUUCGGAUUGCGUGUCCGUUUUGAUGGAAACCAUCAUGCAGAUGUCACCUUGCCUUCGUCCUACAGUGGACUGUUAUGUGGACUCUGUGGAAAUUAUAAUGGUAAUCCUAAUGAUGACAACAUCAAGUCAGAUGGAACGCCAACAGACAGCACCAAUGAGCUCGGAGAAAGCUGGCAGGUUCCUGACGACAGACCAGAUUGUACUCAUGGUGGAGGAGACAUUGAAUGUGAUGACAAGAUCGAGAGUGAAGCACAGAAACCUACUAGCUGUGGCAUGAUCACCGAC
rnacentral:lncRNA from 1 species